CUUAUGAUGUUUAUUUUAAACAUUAAUCGUUUAGGUAAUAUCAGCCAAUGAUAUGUACAAGCACUUGCAAGAGUACAAUACAAGCUUACAGUAGUAUAAUAGCAUGCUGCAAACAGAUCUAGCAACAGCUAAUGCAACACUUCAUAGGGUGGAGAAGGAGAAAUCCCCGAUUGUAGAGAAUUUAUUGGGUACCUUAAGGGGACAUUACGUCCCUUGAAAGAUUAAUUGACAACUUCGAGGGCUUCCCAAGAUGAGGCCAUAAAGCAAAAAGAGACGUUUAUGAAUGAAGCUAAUCGUCUACGUGGGGAGUUGCAACAAGUAAGAGAGGAUCGUGAACAGUUGCAAUCACAAAUGAAGCUCCUAACUGCUGAAAAUCCGUGGCAGAGUUGGAUAACAUGAUGAUCAUGUCAAAUUCCUUGGAGGUUUAUGCUAGGAACCAGCCCGAGCCCAAUUUCCGUUUUACAUACUCUAGAAGACCCAAGAAGAAUCUGUUAUAGGCUUGCUGAGCUGGAUGUUUGUUAUAACCAAUUUUGGGGUAGAAGGGUAUAAUAAUAAUUUGCUGUAACAGUUUGUUAUCAGUUUGUUAUUAGUUUGUUAUGGUGCUGGCAUGCCUUAGCUUGGGAUAGGCUGUUAAUUGGGGGUAUUAAUAGGAGGUUUGUUUUUGUAAUGAGAUAUUAGAAAAUAAUUAAUUACAGAAGUCUGUAGUUGGGAGAGCUCCUUCCUCUCGAAAGAAGGUGUAUUACUGUUUUUCCUUGUUGAGUAAUACAACGUGCUAAGGCUGCCAUUGUUA